rnacentral:tRNA from 1 species
CAAAUUGGACUUAAAGUUAAGGUUUUCAUUUACACUGAAAUUUAUGUCGUGCAAUUCGAUACAAUUUGA